UUCUGUGAUUGGCCAGCAUUACCACAGAAAGAAUCAUGGUUGCUGUGGUUCAGUAAACAUUUGGAUGGAUAGAUGGAUGGAUGGAUGGAUGGAUGGGUGGGUGGAUGGAUGGAUGAUGGAUGGAUGGUGGCUAGGUGGCUGGGUGGAUGGAUGGAUGGA